rnacentral:piRNA from 1 species
UACCUUUUUUGCCUGCUUUAU